GGUGAGUUUGAUUCUUGCUUUGCUUUUAAUAUUUUGGUUGACGCACAUGAAAGUAAAUGUUAAUCUGAGGGGGCGAUUGAGUCGGGUUUAAGAGUUCUCAGUGCAUAGGAUUGGUUUAUAAAAAUAUUUUUGAUCCAGCAAUCAGGUAAAAGCCCAGGCUAAAAUUGUGCCAGCAGCCGCGGUUAUACUGAUCGGGCAGUUAUAAGUUUGUUGGGAUUGAAGUGCUAGGAUUUUAGUUGUUAAAUUAAUUUUAUAGAAGUAAAAAAGUGAAAUCUAUUAAUUGUUAGUGAAGUUGAUUAGGACGCUAGGGGUCUUGAAACUUUAGAGUGCGGGGGAUAGAAUAGGAUUAGAUACCCUGUUAUACCUGGUUGGAAUUAAUUGAAAUCUUAGGGUAGUAAGAAGGUAUGAUCUUGAAACUCAAAGAAUUUGGCGGUAUUUAAGUCCGGUUAGAGGAAUUUGCGCAGUAAACGAUAAACCCCGAGAAUUUUGCCUUGUUUUGAGAUAUCAGUUUGUAUACCGCCAUUAUAAGAUAAUCUUAUUAGAGAGUUGUUGUAAUUAAAUUAGAUUAAGUAUAUUAGGUCAAGGUGCAGCGUAUAGCAAGGGUGUCGUGAAUUACAUUGGUUUAAGAGUCAAACGAAUAGACUGGGGGAGAUUGGUCUUGAAGGUGGAUUUAAUUGUAAGGGGUGUAUAUUAUGCGUCCUUGAUAGAGGCUCUUAAAUAUGUACACAUCGCCCGUCGUUCUCACUUUAAGGUGAGGUAAGUCGUAACAUAGUAGGUGUGUUGGAAAAGGCACCUAGAAGUAG
rnacentral:ncRNA from 1 species